CUUCCUCUAUCAUCUACAGGUCUCUGUCGCGUCUUCCUCCUUCGUUCUUUUGUUCUCCAUCGCGUCGUUCUCUGUGGUUGUUCUUCGUCGCGCCAUCGCCCAUCAUCGUCAUGCUAGAGUCGUUUUAGUGGCUGCUCUCCAGGACCUAUACAGAACCUUGAACUACCCACCAGAGCUUCAAGGAUGGAAUGGUAGUGAUCCUUGUGUAUAACUGAUGGACUGGGACACCAGGCUCAAAAUUGCGAUUGGAUCAGCCAAAGGACUUGCUUAUUUACAUGAGGAUUGUCACCCUCGCAUCAUUCACCGAGACAUAAAGGGUGCAAACAUUCUAAUUGAAAACAACUUUGAUGCCAAAGUGGCAGAUUUUGGAUUGGCAAAGUUUAAUCAAGACACUAACACAUGUUUCUACUUGUGUGAUGGGAACAUUUGGGUAUUUGGCUCCUGAGUAUGCAUCAAGUGGCAAAUUAACUGUGAAAUCUGAUGUUUUCUCAUUUGGUAUCAUGCUAUUGGAGCUCAUUACAGGACGACGGCCGGUAGACAACACUGGUGAUUAUGAAGAGGAUAGUUUGGUUGAUUGGGUAAAUUACUUCAAAGUUCUGAGCUCAUUUGCCAUUCUUGUGUGGAGUCCUUUAGCAUGCUCUGGGUCAUCAGUUAUACACCUGUAAUGAAACAAACAACUCUAUAGUGUAGAGUAGACAAAUUAAAUUUUAUCUAUAUUGGGUUUCAUCCAACUAAAUUUAAUGUGAAAUCUCGGGUCAUCAACCAAAUUUUGUUUGAAGGAGCAGCCAAAUAAGUGGGGCUUUAUGAGUUUCCUAGUUUACUUUGUAACUUCGUCCUCAUGCCAAAUUAUAUUGUUUCUAAUUCAUCAAACUUGCAUUUCCUUUGGGGAAGAACUGUGACUUGUUCAGAAAUAUUUUGACUUUAUCUUUGCUGGUGAAGCACGUUGUGUGUAACCUCUUGUUCUCAUUUUCUUAAAAACUUCCGUUCAGAAUCACAUUGACUAAUAUUUUCUAGUUAGGUGUGCUCUUGUGUUUGUUUUCAUUUUCAUUGGACUUUUGUUCUGAAGCACAUUGUCUCUAUCUUUACUAGUAAAGAACAUUUCAUGUUUGCAACCUCUUUCUGAUUUUCAUUAGACUUGUGCUACCUUUGGGUAAGAACUCUCCACUUGUUCAGAAGCAUUACUAGUAAGGCAUGUCUUCGUUAUCCCAUUGCUCAUGUUUUCAUUAGACUUCUGUUUCCAUAUAGAGCAGAUCUCUUGCUUGUUCACACUAUAGAUACUUACAUUUAGAACUAGCACCCCAACUCUUGCUUGAGCAUUUCAUUUUCCUCACAGGAUACUGAGUGCUCAUGUUCCAUUUCCUAUAGAAUGGUCUAAAGUCCUAUACUAAAACAACUCUUGUUUUCAUGUUUCAUAACUUGAGAAUAACAUGCUUUCAGUCAUCCAAUCUUAGUCUAUUUUAUUGUAAAUUUGCCAACAUUUGGGUUUUCAAAUAUGAAAGUUUAAAUAUUUGUGGUCUGAUUUUAUUUUAAGAAUUUCUAUUUGAAAUUAUUUGAGCUGCAAUUGUGCACUUUGAUCCUAAAUCAGCAAGCUGAAGCUCUUAAGCAACUGGGUCAGAACUUCAAUGGUAGUUCUAUCAGUUCUUCCCACAGUCCUGAUGAAGGAAGGUCCAAAAUGGAGAAAGGCAAGGGACAGAUGAAAGUCAUGAAACAGACAUAGCACAGAAUGUUGUCUCUCACAGGGGACAGAGAUUGUUAAAAAGUGUGGUUGCUGUUGCAGGGUUCUAAUUUGGAUUCUGCAAUGAUGUAAAAGAUGAUAGCAUGGUAAACUUCUACUACACCAAGCAAAAUUCAAGGAUUGAACAUCACUAGGUAUCUCGGAGGCUUGCUUCACAAUCUACAAAACUUGAAGCAUAUGGAUGUGAUUUCUAACAACAUAGUUGGUGAGAUACCAUAUAGUUUGCCACCCAAUGCCACACAUAUAAACAUGGCUUGCAAUUAUUUGAGCCAAAAUAUCCCUCAUUCUUUACCAACCAUGAAGAAACUGAGACUUCUGCUUGGUCCCUUGGAAAAUCAACUCAAACAGAGCAAAGUAGCAACACAAGGAUAUACAACUCAUAGCCCUACAAUAAUGACAAGGCCUAAACAGUGUGCAUUAUGGCAAGUUGUUGCAGAUGCUCUACUCUCCCUCGCGUCUUUCUGGAUGCAGCUAGAUCCGAUUCUAAUUCCAACAAAACUUUGUUAAUUCAUGCUUUUAACUGAUGUAGCUUGCUUUAAUUUCUUGAGAGAGUAUGUUCUCAACAACAAUUAGUAUUGUUUUAGACAAAUUAGUAAAGUGACAUGGAUUUUAGUAUUGUUUUGUUAUUCAAGGCUGGAAUAUUUGAGUAAUUCUGUUAGAAUAUGUGAAUGUUGUUCU